rnacentral:misc_RNA from 1 species
AACAAGGCGUACCUGCGGACCUGCGGAGGGAUCAUUACAGAGUUCAUGCCCUCACGGGUAGAUCUCCCACCCUUGCGUAUUUAUACCUUUGUUGCUUUGGCAGGCCGCCUGGGCUCGCGCCUGGCCACCGGCUCCCGGGCUGGUGCGUGCCUGCCAGAGGAUCUCCAAACUCUAGUUAUCAGUGUUGUCUGAGUACUAUACAAUAGUUAAAACUUUCAGCAACGGAUCUCAGAUCGGAAG